GCCCAGGUACGCCAACCGGCUGAGCGGCUCGGCUUAAACCCGGGCGUCUGUGGGUUCGAAUCCCACCCUGGGCA
rnacentral:tRNA from 1 species